AGAAGGGAAGGCGGGUUUUUCCGGAUGCCUUGGCGCGAAUUUCAAUUAGUCGCUGAGCAGGCUUGAAUGGGCCUGUGUGCUGUGCUCCUUGUCCUGCCGCUGGAUUCUGUGGACUGUGCUCAGGCAAGCUCCGAAGUUGCGACAUGGAUGAACUGACCCAUGAUGAUGUGCAUGUGAACUUCACUCAAGAAGAAUGGGCUUUGCUGAAUCCUUCACAGAAGAGUCUCUACAAAGAUGUGAUGUUGGAGACCUACAGGAACCUCAAUGCUGUAGGCUACAAUUGGGAAGACUGUAAUAUUGAAGAUCAUUAUAAAAGUUCCAGGAGACAUGGAAGAACUGUAAUUUUAACAAUGAAGAACCUACCCGAUUGGGAUCCAUCUUAGUCACAACCACCAAUUCUUGACACUAUUAAUGAAGUCAUGUUGUCCUUGCAGACAGGAGCCUAUUUUGGCUGUCUUCUGAGAGGCUCUACCAGCAGCUGACUAAGACAGAUGAAGAUACUUAUCAGCAACCAGUGGACUAAGGUCACAGAUAACUUUGAAAGAGUUAGGGGAAGGGUUGGAGGAGAAGAAGUGGAUGGCAAACCCAUAGGAUUAACAACAGUAUCAACUAAUCCAGACAUCUCAGAGCUACCAAAGACUUUUCCACCAACAAAAGAGCAUACAUGGGCUGGUCUGUGUCCCCCAGCACAUAUGUAGCAGAGAACUGCCUUCUGUGGCCUCAGUAAGAGACGAUGUGAAAAUCCUGUAAAGCCUUGAUGCCCCCAGGGAAAAGGAAUGCUGGGGAGGGUGAGAUGGGAGGUAUUGGUGAGGGUGGGGGCGUAAAUAUGGGAAUACCCUUUCAGAGGCAAAGGGGAUGGGGGAUGGAAUGAAGAAGUCUGGGACUGAGGAGGAGAAAGGGGGCCUAUGAAUAUUUGGAAUGUAAAUAAAUCAAAUAAUUUAAUUUAAAAAAUCACCUAGAGUCAUA
rnacentral:lncRNA from 1 species